UAUGGGUUAGUAUUGGGUGGAGUUUGUGGUUGAUCUUGGGUGGGGUUUGGGGUGGUCUUGGGUAUGAGGUGGAGCUAGGGUGGUCUUAAGUUUGAUUUGUUCUUGGGGUGCAGUAUGGGUGGUCUUGGGUGGAAUUUCAUUAUAGGACAGCCAAAGGCCAUGGGUUGGUGGCCUGGGGACAGAAGUAGCUUUCAGAAUCAGCGUUGGGACUAGGGUUGUGGUCUGGGGUGGUGACAUGAGGACAUUUCCCCACAGGCAAUUUGAGGUGCCUGAGGAUCCAAAGGCUCUGGGACAUCUCUUCAGUGUCCCUGACUUUGUGGGGUUGCCUGCAAGGCCCUGGCCUCCUGUGUGCAUGGAGCUGUUGCUGCUGUCACAUUUCCACAAGAUCUGAGUUUGAACAAAGCCUGUUGCCUUGAUCACCGCUAAACCCAUUAAAAUUGUUGCUCA
rnacentral:lncRNA from 1 species